rnacentral:rRNA from 1 species
UACGGAGGGUGCAAGCGUUAAUCGGAAUUACUGGGCGUAAAGCGCGCGUAGGCGGCUUGGUCAGUCGGAUGUGAAAUCCCUGGGCUUAACCUAGGAAUUGCAUUCGAAACUGCCUGGCUAGAGUGUGGUAGAGGGAAGUGGAAUUCCAGGUGUAGCGGUGAAAUGCGUAGAUAUCUGGAGGAACAUCAGUGGCGAAGGCGACUUCCUGGACCAACACUGACGCUGAGGUGCGAAAGCGUGGGGAGCAAACAGGAUUAGAUACCCGCGUA